UACGAAGGGGGCUAGCGUUGUUCGGAAUCACUGGACGUAAAGGGCGCGUAGGCGGCCUGCUAAGUCGAACGUGAAAUCCCCGGGCUCAACCCGGGAACUGCGUCCGAUACUGGCAGGCUUGAAUCCGGGAGAGGGAUGUGGAAUUCCAGGUGUAGCGGUGAAAUGCGUAGAUAUCUGGAGGAACACCGGUGGCGAAGGCGGCGUUCUGGACUGCAACUGACACUGAGGAACGAAAGCCAGGGGAGCAAACGGG
rnacentral:rRNA from 1 species